rnacentral:lncRNA from 1 species
GCUCUUCAGGUGCUGUCCUGGUCCAGCUGGGGUCCUCAGCUGGCCUCCUGUGAAGGGUACGAGGUGUCUGCUUUUUGGAAUCAGGUUAUAGCUGAAGAAAAGAAGUCUGUGUACUGAAGGACAGGUACAGACAAGACUCUUGUAGCAAGGCUCAGGAAUGUCAAUUGGGUUGAACCGUGUUCUUUUCUGAUUCCUACCUGUCAGGAUAGAGCUGGGGGCCAAGGAAAUAUGGGGGAAAACAAGGCAGCUAAGAAUAGAAGGAGACGGCUGGAUUUGCUUUGAGGGUUGAUUGGAGACUCAUCUGGCCCUCUUUGUGAAUCUAUCAUUAAUGGGCAAGAUCAGUUCUUUUGUGUGUUCGAUUGGAUAUCAGUUACAAUGGAAUCUGGAUAAAUGGACACGGAAACCAGUCACCUACAGUGAGUCCUCCUGUUGUCCCAGUGAGCAAGUGACAAGAUGGCCUCUGCAUGACAAGCACUUGCUUCAGUCUCCCUGACAACAAUUUCUGCCAAGUGGAAAGCUAUUAAGAGGUGGAUCUCUACAGUGAUAGCCUACAUUUUCCAAGGGAUAAAUCUUUUCUGCUAUGGAGGUUGGCAGCUGAAUUUCCAUUCCCCUGGCUUCCCUCUGUCAUGCUUUUCACAGAGCAACUCGAAGACUAGCAGUGGCUGAUGGAGAUAAAUAUUUCUCAAACAGUGUGAGAUGGUGGGUGGAAAUCUCUCCUGAUCUAUAAGAGGACAUCACCUUCUUAGUGUGAAGGGUUAAAUCAGUCAGGCUGUGAAGUGUGUAGCUUUCAGCUGUUCCCCAGAAAGUCAAGGCCUACAGAUUUUGAAAGAUUCUUACACAUCCAAAGUUUUACACACCUCCAUCCCGAAAGAGACAUUCUCUAUGAGAUAAAUAUGGACCAUUUUCUCUGACAGCUACUGGUGAAAGCAAAAAGCUGUGGAGAGGCAAACUAUCCUAAGUAAUCAGUUUGAAUCUAUGUUCUAGUUCCGGUCAAACAAUCCUAUGAAUUAAGACCUGUUUACCCUUCUACUGCAGGACUGUUAAGCUGUACCUCACUGCGUAUUGUAAACAAUGCCAAGUUUGUUGGACAUUUGUCAAUCAUGGUUUGUAGUGAUCAUCACCCUCAGAAGACUGACCCCUUAAAUUUUUUUUUGCUUUUUGAAUUUUGUUCUUUUCUUUGGUUUUGUUUUUUUCUUUCUCCUUAAGUGUGAGGACAAGUAUGGAUUGUUAUUAUUCUGACUGAUAUUUAUUUAUUUUUUGCAGUUCUAGGAUUAAACCCAGGACUUCAAACAUACUAGGCAAACACUGUACUGCUAAGCUAUAUCUCCAGCUCUAUGACCAGAUUUUAAUGUGC